rnacentral:tRNA from 1 species
UGUUCUGUGGCGAAGUUGGUUAACGCACUCUGUUUAGCGAAUUGACGAGACGUGGGUUCAUAUCUCACCAGAACUA